AUUCUGGUACGGUCGUACCAGAAGCGGGUGCGGGACGGCGGACGAGGCCACCCGGCGCACCCGC
rnacentral:ncRNA from 1 species